rnacentral:lncRNA from 1 species
CUUGUUCGACUUGGAUUUGGGCCCAUACUAACUUUCUGUCUUUGUCUUUGGUACAUGAGCCUGUUUAUCUAUUAUAAUUUUAUUUAAGUAAAAUUUUAUUUUAAAAGCUUUAUUUAAGUAACUUAGUAGCUAAAAAAAUUUUCAGAUCAAUUUUCCGAAUUUUUGCACUAAAAUUCUGUCCGAGACAGUCUAAUGUAUUAUUUUGGGUGGUCACAUUUU